AACGAACGCUGGCGGCAUGCCUAACACAUGCAAGUCGAACGGGAUCCUAGCUUGCUAGGUGAGAGUGGCGGACGGGUGAGUAACACGUGGGAAUCUGCCUUUUGGUUCGGGAUAACCGCGGGAAACUGCGGCUAAUACCGAAUGCCCUCGAGAGAGGAAAGAUUUAUCGCCAGAAGAGGAGCCCGCGUCCGAUUAGGUAGUUGGUGGGGUAAAGGCCUACCAAGCCGACGAUCGGUAGCUGGUCUGAGAGGAUGAUCAGCCACACUGGGACUGAGAUACGGCCCAGACUCCUACGGGAGGCAGCAGUGGGGAAUAUUGGACAAUGGGGGCAACCCUGAUCCAGCAAUGCCGCGUGAGUGAUGAAGGCCUUAGGGUUGUAAAGCUCUUUUGCCAGGGAAGAUGAUGACUGUACCUGGAGAAUAAGCCCCGGCCAACUUCGUGCCAGCAGCCGCCGUAAUAC
rnacentral:rRNA from 1 species